rnacentral:sRNA from 1 species
AUAGGUUUGCAUUCAUGUUGCAUAUUUGUGUUGAUUUCAGGUGAUUUGGAGCAGUUGACGAGCUAACUGGAAGAAGCGGACCUGAUCAUGUCAAACCACUCGACCCCGACGUCGAGUAGAAGCUUCAAGACCUCAACAGACCACUCGACCCCCUGGUCGAGUAGGGGACUUCACAAUUUCAUCUCAUCACUCAACCCCCUGGCCGAGUACCACCACGAGAGAUACUCGAUCACUUCACUCGACCCCCUGGUCGAGUGUAUUCAACUCCACCACCUGACCAGUCACUCGAUCACUUCACUCGACCCCCUGGUCGAGUGUAUUCACCUCCACCACCUGACCAGUCACUCGAUCAGUUCACUCGACCCCCUGGUCGAGUGUCUUCACCACCACCCCUCGACUACAUACUCGAUGGCGAGCUUCAGAGUCUUCUUCAUUCCGCACUCAACCAGACAGUCGAGCAUAAGGAAGAAAAGAAGACUCCAGCAUAUCACUCGACCUCUCACUCGACCACAUGGGUCGAGUACAGUUCUUAAUCUGUUCCAAUACUGCGUCGUUUUGAGUAUUAGGGUUUCAGAAUAUUUUGCUAUAAGUAGCAUGUGCUUUAUAUUUUCGAGAACAAGUUUUUUAUCUAGUUUUAUUCCGGAGACACUGUGUUCUUAACAUUUUGUAAUCCGGAUUUCUCUUUAUCUAUUCAGUAUUCAAUAUUUGUUCUUGAUUUUGUUUACUGUUGUUCAUCAUGUUAUCAUCUUGCUAUUACUCUGUUGUUAUCAUGUUUUCAUUCCAUUCAACGUUUAUGUUUUCUACAAUGAUGUCUGAGUAGUGAAUAGGUUUCUAAGGAUGGGUUAGAGUAGUUUAGAAUUCUCAGUAUGCUAGGUUGUUGAGUUUGAUUGAUAGAUCCCUUCUGGAUUAGUUGUUCUUAAUGCCUAUUGCUUUCUGAUUAACUGGAAUUUGAGCCUAGACAUUUCCGCGCCCAAAAGGUGUUCGAUGAAAUGACUGAACCACUAAUUCUAGAGAUUCGUGGCCCUGUACCAAGGUAUUGGUUGCAGGGAGCGUUUUGGCUUUAACUUGUUGAUUCGUAAUGCCUGUUAGGUUAGCUCUCAUUAAUGGUGAUUGAGUCUGGGACUAGCUUAACUUGAGGGUCUCUAUUGCGGUGGCACUUAGAUUUGGUUAAUGAACUUGUUGUCUAGGGAUAAUUUACUGAGCAUGUCAAUCACAUGUAAACUGAGGAAACAAAACUACUCAAUUAUCCCAUCCUCGAGAAUUCUUUAUCUGAUUAAUUUUAUUGUUUAGUCUACUGUUGUUUACUGCAUCUUGUCAUUUGUUGCUUAGUUUCUGCAAUUCUUUCCAGUUACUCGACCUGAUACUCGACCACCCAGUUGCCUGGCAACAGACUGUGCAGUCGAUCCCAUGUCUAUCUUUGUACAAAUCUUUAUUUUUCCUUG